UGCUGGGACCACAGGGGCCCUUUGCCAGUAUAGAACAGCAUCCAUGGCAAAUGAGAUCAUGGUGGGUUGGCUUCUGCCUGCCCUGCCUCUCAUGUAUAUCUCUUUAGUGGACAGUUGCCCAGCACUACACCUCAGAAUAAUAUAGAUGUCCGCGCUAAUACCUACGGUCAGCCCUUGUGACUGGAAGAGCUUUUAGGUCUCUGUCUCUCCAGAGGUAUCCUUUUAUACAAGGCGGGUAUGUGCAUGCCUUCACCUAACACACACAGAGUGCACAGGGCUCUCCGAGGUAGGAGUGUCUGUGCUCUCCCCAGCUGCCUGGAAUGAGGCCUCCAUUUUUGUCGUGCCUAUCAGUCACCGUGAGUUUGCUUCUGAGAGAGAAGUAAUGGGAAAAACAGCUAAUCACCCAUUCAUAAUCUCUUAAACAUUAUUUUUAAGCUGAUAGUCGCAAAACAAAAGGCAAUCUCUCUAACUCCA